rnacentral:rRNA from 1 species
UCCUGUUGAUCCUGCAGGAGAUUACUGCUAUCAGGGUUCGACUAAGCCAUGCAAGUCCUGGGGUUCUUCGGAACACCGGCGAAAUGCUCAGUAACACGUUGAUAAUCUGCCCUUAAGUCUGGGAUAACCUUGGGAAACUGAGGCUAACACCGGAUAGGAAAAGAGUUCUGGAAAGAUAUUUUUCUCAAAAGCAAUGCUUAAGGAUGAGUCAGCGGUCGAUUAGGUUGUUGGUGGGGUCAAGGCCCACCAAGCCCGCGAUCGAUAGGGGCCUUGGAAGAGGGAGCCCCGAGAAGGGAACUGAGAUACUGUCCCUAGCCCUACGGGGUGCAGCAGGCGCGUAACCUCUACAAUGCACGAAAGUGUGAUAGGGGGACCCUGAGUGCUCAGCUAUGCUGGGCUUUUGCCAAGAGUAAAAAUCUUGGCGAAUAAGUGGUGGGUAAGACUGGUGCCAGCCGCCGCGGUAACACCAGCGCCACGAGUGGUAAUCGCUAUUAUUGGGCCUAAAGCGUCCGUAGCAGGUUUUGUAAAUCUUAUGUGAAAUUGUUACGCUUAACGUAACAGCGUGCAUGAGACACUGCAAGACUUGGGACCGGGAGGAGUCAAAGGUAUUUCUUGGGGAGCGGUAAAAUGCUAUAAUCCAAGAAGGACCACCUAUGGCGAAGGCAUUUGACUAGAACGGAUCCGACUGUGAGGGACGAAAGCCAGGGGAGCGAACCGGAUUAGAUACCCGAGUAGUCCUGGCUGUAAACGCUGCGAGCUAGGUGUUGCGUAAUCUUCGAGAUUGCGCAGUAUCGGAGCGAAGGCAUUAAGCUCGCCGCCUGGGAAGUACGGUCGCAAGGCUGAAACUUAAAGGAAUUGGCGGGGGAGCACUACAAGGGGUGCGGCGUGCGGUUUAAUCUAACUCCACUCAGAGAAUCUCACCAGAAGCGACGGCACUAUGAAAGUCAGAUUAAAGGUUUUACUUGAGGAGCCGAGAGGUGGUGCAUGGCCGCCGUCAGCUCGUGCCGUAAGGUGUCCAGCUAAGUCUGGUAACGAGCGAGACCUGUGCCCACAAUUGCUAGCAGGUGCUUUUGCAUGACUGAGCACAUUGUGGGGACUGCCUUGGAAACGAGGAGGAAGGUGCAGGCUACGGUAGGUCUGUAUGCCCCGAAUCUUCUGGGCUACACGCGCGCAACAAUGGUAGGUACAAUGGGAUACGACCCCGAAAGGGGAAGUUAAGCCUCGAAAACCUAUCUCAGUUCAGAUUGAGGGUUGUAACUCACCCUCAUGACGCUGGAAUCCCUAGUAAUCGGGUGUUAGCAGCGCCCGGUGAAUACGUCCCUGCUCCUUGCACACACCGCCCGUCAAACCACUCGAGCAGGGUUUAGGUGAGGCCUAGUUUUUUUGAUUAGUUCGAACCUAAGCUCAGUGAGAAGGGUUAAGUCGUCACAAGGUA